CCUCCCCUUUCUUGGCCGCCUCACUUUUCCCCUUGGCUGGUCGCCCCCUCUCCCCCCAUUGCAUCAGCCCUCCAAUACUUCUUCCUCCCUAGAUCUCCCCCCACGCAACAACGAUCGAGAAGAGGAGAAACAAGAUGGAUUGAAGAGGAAGAGAGGAUCAAGGAGAUGUGCUACCCCCAUCUCUUGCAGAUUUUUCUUAGGGAAAACCCUAGGUGCUUGUUGCUCAUCAAGGGAAGUGGGAAGUAGCAGCACAUCCACCUUCACUCUUAUAAUAACGUUGCUUAGGCGCAGUGAUGAUUUAACUAGAAGCUUCUUGUAAAAGGAUGUUUGUUUCUAACUAGUUGUGCGCACUGGAUAAUUUAGCUCAUGCCGUUAUGGUUGUCUUCC